UUAUGGGAAGUGGCACAGGAGGAUAAUUCAAUCAUACGGCACAAUCCUCUCCCACGGAGGAAGGAGAGAUAUCAGAGAUUGAGCUCUUUUGAUAAUCGAUGGACAUUCCUGUGACCAAUUCGAAGCUACACAAGUGAAAAUCAAUGCAUUCCUUGCUAGUUUUCAUGAAAAUUAAUGUAUCAACCUAGGUGUUUUCAAGGCGCUCUGUAAGAUUGGCCAACAUUGCCACAUUCACUAUUCUACAGAGAGGGUUGGCUGCGAGCAAUGAAAAGAAAAUAAGAGAGUGGAUCGUCUGCCUGAUUCCUAUUGUGCACCAUAAAAAGAAAGAGGUGCAUGAGUUAGUAGACAAGAUAUUUUAGUUUCUUUUUCUUUUUUUUGGGUCUAAGACAAUUCAAUGUAAGAACCGAGAUAGGCAGGUGACUCAAAAUCGAGAUCUUUCAUAUAUGAUUCAGAAAUUAUAAUUAUCCUUAAUUCGUAUAUCUUACGUGAUGCAUUGUUUUGAUUGUAAUCUUGUUAUUAUUCAACUAGAUGGUCUCUCCUUGAGCAGAAGAAAUAACUAAUUAUUAGUUCAAAUUAAACUAUGGCAGAGGAGAUGGAGAUAUAACUAGUUUUAGCUGAUAAAUUUUUUUCAAGUCGUAUGCAGAUGGAAGUGAACUUUCAAUUACUUAGAUAUAUAUCAUGAAAUCUCUUGCAAUCCCCAUCAUUCACACGCCACUUAUGUUUCAGAAACGAUCCGUACUUCAUGCGAACAUGCAUUGAAUUAGGGUAUGUACGGUUUGCAGGCUGAGCUGUGGAUUGAUAAGCCCGGGUUGGUCCUCUACUAAUAGCUUAAAAUUUUUGGUCCGUGAC
rnacentral:lncRNA from 1 species